AGGAGGAACAACCACAUUGGCAGAGGCCCGCUCUGGAGCCCUGGAUUCAGCUCUGGCAGGAACUAUGGGGCUCUUGGUCUGCAGGGCCUGGAUGCUCUGGGGGCGG
rnacentral:pre_miRNA from 1 species